rnacentral:tRNA from 1 species
GUUGCUUUGGUCGAGUAGUUAAGACGUGUGCCUGCUAAGUAUAUGGGGUUUCCUCGCGAGAGUUUGAAUGUCUCAUGCAAUG